UUAUAUCUCCAGAAAGCCCUAUUCUUUAAGUCAUAAAACUUUUCAUACCCUCUUGGUUUGUGUGUGGUGUCAUCGGUCUUGACAUCUAAACCAAAUUUUGGGUAGGAGCCCAUCCUGCAUCUGCUGAGUGAUUACAACACAAGAUGCAAUAUAAGAUAUAGAGCUGCAAAAUUAAAGAAUGGGGUAAGAGGAAGAAAAAGAACUAGCAGAAGAAGAGAAGAAACUAGCAGGGGAAGCAACAUAAUUCUAUUUUACGAAAGGGGAAAACAGAGAAAGCAACGUGGCUCCUACUGGAACAGACCCUGGUCUGAAGUCUAUAAAGAUCUGGCUA